CUUGUACUCCCUCCAUCCGAAAAUACUUGUCAUUGAAAUGAAUGUAUCUAGAUGUAUUUUAGUUCUAGACACAUCCAUUUUGAUGACAAGUAAUUCCGGACGGAGGGAGUACUUG
rnacentral:pre_miRNA from 1 species